rnacentral:rRNA from 1 species
AACGAACGCUGGCGGCAUGCCUAACACAUGCCAGUCGAACGAGACCUUCGGGCCUAGUGGCGCACGGGUGCGUAACGCGUGGGAACCUGCCCUUAGGUUCGGAAUAACUCCCCGAAAGGGGUGCUAAUACCGGAUAAUGUCUUCCGACCAAAGAUUUAUCGCCUUUGGAUGGGCCCGCGUUGGAUUAGCUGGUUGGUAGGGUAAAAGCCUGCCAAGGCGACGAUGCAUAGCUGGUCUGAGAGGAUGACCCGCCACACUGGGACUGAGACACGGCCCAGAAUCCUACGGGAGGGAGGAGUGGGGAAUAUUGGACAAUGGGCGAAAGCCUAAUACAGCAAUGCCGCGUGAGUGAUGAAGGCCUUAGGGUUGUAAAGCUCUUUUACCCGGGAUGAUAAUGACAGUACCGGGAGAAUAAGCACCGGCUAACUACGUG